rnacentral:rRNA from 1 species
CUGAACCAGCCAAGUAGCGUGAAGGAUGACUGCCCUAUGGGUUGUAAACUUCUUUGAUAAAGGAAUAAAGGCGGGUAUGUAUACCCGUUUGCAUGUACUUUAUGAAUAAGGAUCGGCUAACUCCGUGCCAGCAGCCGCGGUAAUACGGAGGAUCCGAGCGUUAUCCGGAUUUAUUGGGUUUAAAGGGAGCGUAGAUGGAUGUUUAAGUCAGUUGUGAAAGUUUGCGG